AGAGACAGGUCAAAGAGUAGUGAUCCAUCGAUAUAGGCUUCUGAGGGCACUCGACAGAUCCACCCAUUAUCAUUGAUUGAACUCUGUUUAGGUAGGGAUACCCGUUGUACUUAUCUCAUAUCAAUAAGCGGAGGAAAUGAAACCAACAGGGAUUGCCUCAGUUACGACGAGAGAAGCGGCAAAAGCUCAAAUUUGAAAUCUGGCUCUUUUAGGGUCCGAGAUGUCAUGAGUAGAAGAUGCUUCGGGUGUGGCUCUGGUAUAAGUUCUUUGGAAUAUUACAUCAUAGAGGGUGAGAAUCCCGUAUGUGACCAGUAGCCUCCGCCUAUGUGAAGCUCUUUCGACGAGUCGAGUUGUUUGGGAAUGCAGCUCAAAAUGGGUGGUAUAUUUCAUCUAAAGCUAAAUAUUGGCCAGAGACCGAUAGCGCACAAGUAGAGUGAUCGAAAGAUGAAAAGCACUUUGGAAAGAGAGUUAAACAGUACGUGAAAUUGUUGAAAGGGAAGCGCUUGCAACCAGACUUGCACGCAGCUGAUCAUCCGGUGUUCUCCCCGGGGCACUAUGCUGCGUUCAGCCCAGCAUCGGUUUUGGUGGUCGGAUAAAGGCCUUGGGAAUGUGGCUUCCUUCGGGGAGUGUUAUAGCCCUCGGGACAAUGCAGCCUUCUAGGACCGAGGACCGCGCUUCGGCUAGGAUGCUGGCAGUAAUGGUCGUAAGCGACC
rnacentral:rRNA from 1 species